GUAGGUUCUUAUAAGACCUAUUUAAUGAUAAUAACUACCUUUUCAUUUAUUUAUAUUUAGUAACUAAUUUACUUUUUUUAUUUACCAUCCAUAGCUAUACCAGUAACUUAGAGUUACCGGUACACAUACACGGUUAAAUACAAUUAGCAAGUUACCGAAUUAGAUGCUUCCUUAUUCCCAUAUCCCAAUUUUAACGGAUACAUUAUUAAUCAACUUGAUUUCUCUCAUUCUUCAUUAAUCUUCACCGUGUUUUGCUCCAUUAUCUCCUUCACGAUUUAUUUCUCUCAUUCUUCAUUAAUCUUCAUUGUGUUUUGCUCCAUUAUCUCCUUCACGAUUUAACAUCAGCAAAAUAUUGUUCCGUAAUUUUUGGGGAAGGUGUAAUUCGGUAGAUUUUUUCUUCUAUUAGUCUUUUUCUUUUCUACCAAUUUCAAACCAAUUGAAUUAUUAAAUUGUUAGGGUUUCAAGAAAAUUGAAGUAUCAAACUUAUACAUUAAUGGUAGACGGAACAAAAUCAAACAUGAUUACUCGAGGUUCGGCCGAAAGAGUGGCUGCUAAAAGAAGGACGAAGAAUAUUCAUGAUCCUUCCCACAUGCAAAGACUUAAAAAAUUGGUAAUUACAAAAUCAACAAAGAAAAUAGAUACCGGAAAAGAGAUGAAAAGGAAAAAAGUUGUACAACCUGAAGCAGAAGCACAAGAAGAGUUUGAUCCAGCGAUGAAGCAGGAUGAUAAAUUCUUUGUCCAAUAUCCUCCCAGUCAUGCAAUACAAUAUGCUUCGUACAUGAACCCGAAAAUUUAAAAAGAAUUGAAGGACAAGCUUACCGAUAGACAGUUUCAACUCUUUUCCUAGACUAUAUUUGGAAAAUACCUCUAGAUGCAGCACUGUGAAGUUCAAUCACAGAUGUUCGUGUGUUUUAUGGUCAGAGAGCUGAAGAAAAGUACUCCCAAUGCUUUUAUUAUUGAUGUUAAUGGUUUCGAAUUGACAUUUAAUCUUUUUGUUUUGCAUUAAUGACUGGGUUCAAGUGUUACAGCGAAGAAAUUAUUUUUCACAGUAAGAAAAAUAAACUUUUGGAUACAUAUUUUGGGGGUUCCAAUAAAAGUGUGAAAAAGGGUGAACUGUUUGAAUGCUUCAUGGAUCAGAAUUGGGCGUUGAUGAUGAUGCAGAUGGAGAUGCUGUAAAUAUUGCACUAUUGUUUUUUAUCCAUACAUACAUCUUAUCCGGUGAGAAACACAACGUCGUCAUUCCAAGGCUUCAUUUUGACUUGGUAGAGAGUGGGCGGUACAAAGACUAUACAUGGGGAAAAGAAGCGUUUAGUGAUUUGAUCAAAAGUCUUCACCAUAAUAUGGAUAAGACGAAACAGUAUUACUGUCUUUGAGGUUUUCCGUUUGCUAUGUAAGCAUAGCUAUACGAGUGCUGCUUCAAUGUUUACCCAAAUUUGGCAGUAAAAAAUGGAGAUCGUAUUCCCAAAAUGUUAAACUGGAAAACCAAAGAAGAAUCACCACAUUUUAAAGAUCUCAAGACUGGCAUGUUCAACGAUGACGACUCAGAGGUAAUUUUCACUCAUUAGUUAAAUGCACAAAUACAAGGAUUCUACAAUUAUUUGUAUAUACUAGCUGACAAAUAUAUUAGUGUAUUUCACUUAUAUGUAUUUAUAACAUGAAUCUUCAAGUUCUGUUAAAUACAUGGAGUUUGAACAAUUGAUUAAUCACGUAUUUGAACAUAUGUUUAAAUCUUUUUUGAUUGUAUUUGUGUACUUUGAACCAAACAAUGAACUGUCAAUCAAAUUCACAUCAUUCAAAUUCAGUUAUCCUUAUGUAUUUGAACAUAUAUGUAUACAUAUGUAUUUCUUCAUUAAAUCAAAUACAUGUAUUGAUCAAUUCACAUUUAUUUGGUAUUUUUUAUCUGACAUAUUUAAGUAUGAUCCUUCUCUAGCACCGUCUUUUUUAUAAGAAUAUUGUGCCAACAAUCAAUGAGAUUCAGGAACUUGGAUUGCGUCCAUAUCUCUCCAGUAAAUCUGCAUCAACACCUCAACAACAGGUUGAGGAUGAUUAUGAUGACUUUAUCUCCACACCACCCCAUUUGGCUGCGGCUAAACAUCCUCAAAAUAAAGGUGUAUCACAAUCUCCAUCUCACAAGAAGCCGAGACAGAUGCCAAUGGUACUAUCGCCAGUGAAGAAGACAACAUCUCCAAUUACACGUACUGGUAAUCAUCCGAGUGGUGGAUGAUUGACCAAACAUUCUAGUUUAGCAUCAACUAGGUAAGCUUCAACAAGGGAAAAAGAACAAUCAUGUCCAAUACCCCCCCCCCCCCCCCCCCUCCCCUCCUUCCUGUUGACGUCCCAUCUACUAGCAAAUCUGAUGAUAUCUCUGGUCUGAGGGAGGAACUUAAUGAGUUUUAGAAGAAUGUAAGUCUUAUUUUUUGUUCUUUAUCUUAUUUAUUUAUGUAUUAUAUUAUUGUUUAAUAAGGAAUGCAAUUUUAUGUUUCUUGUUUGAAAUUUUAGGUUUUCGCCGAAUUCAAGGAUUUUCACAAAGUCAUUAACAAAAACUUUGCAAAGGUUUUUGAAUAUAUGAAAGUGAAUCAAACUUCAGAAAAUGUAUAAAAAAGUUAUACAUAUAAAAUAGUAUGAAAUUUUGAAUACCGUUUCUCCAAGGUGCUCAUAACGCGGCUCCGGUUCAUGUGCAUUUUACUGACAUACAUCAGCCAGUCGACAACUACAUUCACCAAGAUGCUUGAUUACAAAUGGAAACAUAUACAGGUCAUACAACGUCAACAGGGAUUACAAAUGGAAACAUAUACAGGUCAUGCAGCGUCAACAGAGGGAGAUGGUAUGCAACAGUUUGAUGUGCUUGAUAUUGGAGUGGAACAUGACAACGAGAGUGGGGAAACAUUAAAGGCAUCUACUGAAGAGAUUCAGGAAUACAUAGUUCAGUUUCCUGAAGACGCCAUAUCUGACAAAGCGCCAGUCGUAUAAGCGAACUCCGCCGACAUAGCAGAGGUCCUAACUGAUAUUUCUCACACAGGAUUCUCUUCGGGCCCCUCUCAUGAAAAGAGUGCCGUACAACACGAAGGUCAUUCUGUUUUUGGGACACCGCACAAAGUUAGUGAGAACGUGCAACCUGUCUCUCAGUUUUUCUUCCCCAACUAGCUGCUUCCAAACCAAAUUCCCGAAACACGAAUAGUUUUGCAUCCAUCAGUUGCCCGGAAUAGGCGUCCUAGUAAAUAUCAAGUUUUCCCUUUCAUGGCGGAUUACGACUGUGCUUCAAGAAAUUAUUUACAAACAACAGUUAAUGUAUUUAAUUUUGUGUAUUCAAAAGAAUAUUUUUUUGAGCAUAUGUAUUUGCAUAUUUUAGGUGGUUCACAAUUCAUCAGUGUGCACAUUUUUUUUUAAAAAAAACAUCCAUUCGUGGAAGGUCCCAUCACCGGCCCAGUCGAGCUUUUUGAUAAAUAUUUGACAUGGAUUCGUAAGGGACUUCUUGUCAGGCAUGAAAACAAAAAGAACAACGAAGAUUGUUACAGAAAGAAGAUGGCAACUUUUGAGUAUGAUGCAGAUUAUACUUAUAAUGUCAUCAUAGUAGUUGAAAACAAAAACUGGUUCUACCAGUUAUCAAUGAGUGGCCAGUUGUGGAAUGAUGAGCACAUUGACGUGAUUUUCUACUACUUGCAAAAGAAAGACAAGUAUGACACAAGAAGCACUUUCAAAUAUACCAUAGUUGACUGUAUCUUCAAGAAAAAGGUUGAUCAAACAUAUCUUUCAUAUAACAACCCAGAAACUGGACCCCAUGUAGCCAACUAAGAAGAUGACAUAUGUCAAUAUGUUAAGGGUCACUGGUUGCACGCAAAUGUCUCGUGGCAUUCAGUUGACAAUAUUCUUAUACUUGUCAACAUCAAAGAGGAUAAUCAUUGAAUUUUGGUUGUACUUUCAUUUAAUGACAGUUAUGACAGGCGACUUUAUGUGUACAACUCAUACGGAGGCGGUGCAGGCCACAAUAAAGUUGUUAAAAGGGAAAUACAAAAGCUUGCUGCCCUCCUGCCACAUUAUCUACACAUUACUGGAUUCUACACUAAAAAAAUUAGCAUCAAUUGGAUGAAUCACCCAACCUAUAUGGACAUGACCCAGAAUGAGAACAUUCAAGUGGAGCAUGUAGAAAAUCUGCCGCAACAAGACCCUACCAGCAUGGAUUGUGGUGUGUAUGUGGCAGCAUUCGCUGAAUAUCUAAGCUCUGGUGAAGGUAUUCCAACACAAAUCGAUGCAAAGAUGCUCCGCACUAGAUACGGUGCACUCUUUUGGGACUACGCUGCACGGAAGAUCGAUGAACAUGCUAUGAGCAAUAUCGAGGCGCCAUCAAAACCAGUUAGGCCAGCAGUAGAUUAUGACAAAGUUGACACAAUUGAUGUUACUUAGGAGUGAUGUAGUAAUUUUUAAUUUUAAUUUAAGACUAUGACUUUUUUUAUAGCAAAUAUUUUAGAUAUAUUUAGUAUAAGAAAACAGAUUAUGACUGUGUCGUAUCAAUCUCCUCAAGUUUUAAUUGAAACAUUUACCUUAGUCUAAUUAUCAAUAUAGUGUGGUUUGUUUUUGAAAUUUAGAUGUAUGUGUAUAUUUGGCUAUACUUUGGAUGUGACACAGUCAGCUACAUUCAAAUACA